rnacentral:lncRNA from 1 species
AAAUGUAACCCCUAAUUAAAUAAUUUAAUAUAUAUUUAAUAAAAAAUUGGGUAUUUCGGGUAUACCCGAUACCCGAUCGGGUAUACCCGAUACCCGAUUUUUCCCCACCCUAAAUACCCGAUCCCGAACCCGGUCCCUAAUUUUUCGGGUAUAGGGUACCCGAUACCCGAUUUUUUCGGGUCGGGUAAUCGGGUACCCUAUACCCGAACCCUAUCUUCCCACCCCUA